GGGGCUGCGGCGCCGUGACCCCGCGGCUCGGCCCCGCGCCUCCCGUUCGGCCGUUCCCCCGCGUCGGCCGCCGAGGAUCUAUCCGCCUAAGGACGCGAAGGACGGGCGAUAAUAAAAGCAGACACCCGCACGCACACGAUCCGCAGAAGGCGUGAGCGCUUAGCGGGGAGAAACGAGGUGGGAGGAGAAGGGGGUGAUUCCCCUUUCUGCAAGAAUUCCCUGUCUCCGGGCUCCGUGCAUGCAGCAAAUGCGUUAUGGAGACGAGCGGAGCCCCCUCGCCUUAAAGAAAAGUAGAAAGGGAGCAAAACGGAGGGAUCCGAGCAUGCAGAAAGGAAAGACGAGACUCACGGCCGCUGGCUGCAGCAUGCACAGGAAAGAUCGCUACUUACCGAGCGGGAACUCCUCGGACAGGAGUUGGAAAAAAAUACUGCGGUGAUGUCCAGGUUUUCUUCCACCCGCGCUCGCUUUUUAUACAAGUGCAACCCUCUGUCUAUUUCUGGAACGCGAUCAAAACCCUGAUGCUAUUUUUAGCAGUGUCUUUGUAAAGUGGGCUUGGGAGAAAACACAACAACCACCAUGCACCACUUGGCCAUUGUGCACAAACGUGGGUUUCAGGCGGGGAUGCUUUGCCGGGAGACUGAGGUGGCUCCAUACGGUGAAUUGCACCCAGCACAAAGAAGGGCUGCUGGGGUUUUUUGUUUUUUUUUUUUUGUUUUUUUAAUUCUCUCCUCGCCCCCUGCCUUUCUCCCCCUUAAAAAAAUACCAUCCUUUGUUUGGAGAAUAAAGGAUCUAUAAAUAUAUAUAUGAAAAAAGGGCGUGUGUGUGUGUUUGCGUUCUAGUAAUUCACUACGAGGGGGGACUGGGGAAAAAAUAGAAUCAUUAGGGCUUGCAGGCUGCAAGGAGCCAGCCUGAGACUCCUUUGCAAGGCUGCGUCAGUUAUCAGCUAUUGACGUCACGUUCAGAUUCUCCUCUUCAGAGGCUCUAGUUCAUCAUAAAAGAUGUCUGUGCUCGGAGCUUUGUGCUUGCAGAAAGGCACUUCAAUUCGAGGAAAAGAGUUAAUUAGCAAGCCCCAUAUUUUGUGGUGUGCAGCUUUCUGUGCAGUUGCACAAAAAUCCGGGGGGGUGUGCAAAUGUGUGUUUGUAAGGGGGGGGGGAAUCUUAUGCGCUGGGGAUAGGGAGGUGUUUCUCAAAACACACACACACACACACACACACACCCCAUGCAGAAGCACAGACAGAGAGAGCAAUCUGCAUAGCCAUACACCGCAAGAAAAUGUGCCCCCCCUCCCCACGCACCCCCUCCUCGGGUAUGGCUAUGGCAAUUUUAGCAAAAAAAACCCACCCAAAUUGGAACAAAAUCUCAGGUUUUUAGUAUUUGCAAUGCAAACAGCACUGGGGGGGGAGGGGGGGGAAGGGAAUAUAUUUUAACACCCCUUCUCUCCAACCCCCCCCCAGUCUGAACAGCAGCAGCAGCAGCUCACACCCCCACCACCUUACACUUGUAUUUGGCUACUGUAGCAAAAGACAGAUAUUGAUAAAACCAGGAUUAAUUCUGUAUAUUUGUCAGGCAAACAGCCCCGUCUCCUAGAAUGACGCAAAUAACAGAUUCUAUGGCUCUGGCUUUCUAUAUUCUGCACCCACGCACUCUGCUUGGUCUCCCACGGAAUCAGCUACAGAGAGCAAUGAUCCAGAUUAUACAGAGAGGGGUGGGGGAAAGGGAGAGAAUAACAAAUGAAAUUGCAAUUAAAAAUUAUAAUGCUGCUCCAGCCUGUACGCAAAUGGCUCAACCUGAGCUUGCACGGUGGCACACACCGACACGCACUCGUGCCCCUGAGCCCCCUGCCCCUAUAACUGGGGGGGCAUCAGCAGCAUUUAGACAAAAGGGAAUUGUCUUGCUGACAAAUGCAGGGUUUAUCAGGCAAGGAGAGGUGUUUCCUUUCUGCACCACACCUUUCCCAGCUCCCAUUAAGCAAAACACAUCCCUGAAACGACCCGUCUUGCCACUAAGUGUGUGCGGAGGGGGACAGUUAACACACACAGCUGGGGAGAGGAGUGGGGCCACCCCCACAGCCCCACAGGAGCUAAGGAGGACCUCUACGAGCAGGUCAUCUUCUCCAACUCCCAGACAAAGGGAUGCAGCUAUUUCUCAAAAUGCCUAAAAAAAGUCAAGCGCAAAGGGCUGUUACUAUUUUUAAACCUCUCUCUCAUUUGUUGGAAAAUGGCACUAAAAGCAUUAACCAAGCUCCCCGCCCCCGGGGACACAGUCAGACACACGGCGAGCCCCGAAGGAACACUGAGGUGGUGGGGACUGUCCCUUCCCCAGGUGAGGGCCUGGGGUGCCCCACCACCAUUCCCACCACUAACCCACGUCACACCCUAUGCAAUGGGAGAAGCAAAAUGUCAGGGCAGUCAAGAAACCCAUAAGUUAUUCACUGCCUAAUCUGUACACACACACUCCUUAUUUAUUAACUCAAUUAUUACCAACUUCUUUCGCAGACAAUGAAUUUCCUAAUGUCAAUAAGCUGCAAUCAAUGAGGUAGGGCUGUCUCUCCCUCUCUCUCUCUCUCAAAGCCAGAUGGUGCCGUUGUCAUGACUGCCCCUGACAGAGCGGCACCUGGGGAGGAGACCACACCUGUAUGGGGGGCACAGCAUGGCACCAUGAGGCUCAAGGGGGUUGAGGGCCCAUUCAAAUGACCAUAUGCAAUGCAUCAGAUGCAACCAUAUGCAUCAUCAUCCACAUGUCAGCAACAAACCCGUCUCCACAGGACUGGGAGAGACGUUACACUUCAGACCUGGAAUGAAACACAGCCCAACCCAUGGUUUUGCCAUGUGAAACUGGCCCAUGCAGUAGCUGUAGCCCAGAAGCCAGAUGAACAGGAAGAAAUGUUUCAACAGGGAAAGCCCUUAUGCCAAGGUCAGAUCUUGUCCCCUCAAGACCCCCAGGAGCCAGCUGUGGAACAUACAUCCUCUGAGGAGCUGCAGUGAAGUUCAUCCUGGAUGAACAAAAAUGUUAGGCCACACAGGAGCUUAAGGACACAGACGUGCACACCCAAGCUGUCUUUUGACACUCAAACUUUUGAGAGCCUCAGUACGCUGUGGAGGGAGGGGAGGGUGCAGCCAUUUUCUCUCUCUUCCUGCCCUCACACAAACUGAUUGCUUUGCACUUCUGUGUAGCGGUCACCUCUGUGAAUACAAACAGAGGAGAGCUGGCCGGCCCCAGCUCAACUCUGUUGCAAAGAAAAGGUGCUAACACAAGGGGUGAUUCUGGUGGCAGGCCCUGGAGUGGACCCACAGGAAGGCUGUGCAGCUCCUGGGCCUCAGGAUCUCCUGUGCCUCCUCUUCAGCCAGGAACCCUAUCUCCCAAGCAUCUCCCUGGAGCCCCACAGGUGUUUUAUAUUCUAAACUCUCCCACAUUAAUGAAAGGACUUAUUAAUCUUUCUACUGCAUGGUUUGGAAUGUCUUUCUGGAAGCUGUAGUAUCACUCCCAGCCUCAAUUUCAUCAACUCAUCUUGCUUCUCCAUUUACUCUCCUCUCUUCUCCUCCCAGAUGUGUUCCCUCCAUCCCAGAGGCCUGUCUCCUGUCCUACUUGCCUCUAAAAGCACUAAAAGCAAGGUAGAAGCCAUGUCCAGUGCCCAGGGAAUCUAUGGCUUAAAUAAAUAAAUAAAUGGAAACCAUCCAAACUGGAAAGAAUGUCUGGCAAUCAUCUACCCAACAGCAGUUCUCAUUUCUACUCAUUAGAAGCACCAAAGGGAAAAUUUAUCUUCUAUCUUGAUAUUUUAGUUAUCAGCAAUCUUCUUGUUUCUAAACAAUUAAAAACCCCUACCUGCAAAGCCUUAACGAAAGCAGAAGCUUCUGUACUAUUUCCUCCACCAAAAUGCAAUAGCACAGAUCCUGGACAAAGUGGUGCCGUGCCCGACAGCAGCAGUAUACUGCCCAGAGCUACUGGGGUGCCAAAGGGAGCAGCCUCACCUCUAACAUGUGGGAUCUGCAUAUUCCACUCUAGGAAGUUUCCCUUCCAUACUCUGCCCUAAUGGACAGUGGCACACAUGGGGAUACUACUGGGGACAAUACUGUUGUUAUUGAUGGUAAAGUGUUAGCUGGUACAAAAUUCUUGCUCAGAACAACUAUGAUCUAUCAAUUACAAAGUAGUUCAGUUUGCAGGUAAAAACUAUUUUAGUGACAUUUAUC
ensembl:lncRNA